rnacentral:lncRNA from 12 species
GUUGCUCCCUAACAAAUCACCCACUGAUUCUGAAAUGCAUUGCAAGCUGCCAGAGCAGUUUUCUUUCUAAGAAAUAGACUCUUUCAAUUUGUGUUUACAAGAAGAAAAGCUUCUUGUUCAGGGCUGCGGUGUGGCUGUUUUUCUGCCCAUCAUCUGAAACAACAAAGCAGGGGCUUGUCAGUGAGACUCUACUGAAUGGAGGUCUCCGACUUGCCCAAACGGAGCUUCUCCAGAGUCUCACCUCUGUGUUAAUGUCACACUAACUAGGAUGUGCCAAAAAGCAUAGCCUGUGAGACAGGACUUUCUACAUGAAGUUGGAAACCGCCACAUCAUCGGAACAAGAAAGCAAACUUGUGGCCUGAAGGCUUACACUGGAUCCCUCAAGCUCUUGGAAUGUUUCUUUCUGUGUUUAUUUCUGAAGGGUAGCAUGUUGCACCCAAGAAGGGGUCUCAUUCUAGUCAGUCUGCUUGUGGGAGGACAGGCCACUGAAGGAUUCAUCUGGAAGCUCUCUCAUGAAUCUUGAUUGUGUCAGUAACAGGACUUCCUAGUACAGCAUCUGGAAGGGGAAGGGAAAGAUGUGACAUGCCAAGGGUGCCAUUCCAGAGUGGGAUUGACAGUAGGGGCAGUGGCAGAGGUGAUCCGUGAACCAUUUGGGAAUCCAAAGUCCUGCACAGUGUGCAUCAAAGGUUUGUUGUUCGGCAAACUUGAGAAUUUCCCAGGGGUGAAAUCUGAAACUGGCCCCUAUGGGAACGACAG